AGAGUUUGAUCCUGGCUCAGAACAAACGCUGUCGGCGUGUCUUAAGCAUGCAAGUUGAGCGGCAAGGAGGAGAGAUCCUCCCUAGAGCGGCGGACUGGUGAGUAACGCGUGGGUAAUCUAUCUUAGGCAUGGGGAUAGUCACUAGAAAUAGUGGGUAAUACCGAAUAAGUUCCAUAAGGGGAGGACUUAUGGAAGAAAGGUGCUACGGCACUGGCCUUAGGUGAGCUCGCGUCCCAUUAGCUAGUUGGUGAGGUAAAGGCCCACCAAGGCGAUGAUGGGUAGCCGGCCUGAGAGGGUGUACGGCCACACUGGGACUGAGAUACGGCCCAGACUCCUACGGGAGGCAGCAGCUAAGAAUAUUCCGCAAUGGACGGAAGUCUGACGGAGCGACGCCGCGUGGAUGAAGAAGGCCGAAAGGUUGUAAAGUUCUUUUGCUAGGGGAGAGUAAGUGUGGGAGGGAAUGCCUGCACGAUGACAAGGACUAGCGAAUAAGUCCCGGCCAACUACGUGCCAGCAGCCGCGGUAACACGUAGGGGGCGAGCGUUGUUCGGAAUUACUGGGCGUAAAGGGCAUGUAGGCGGCUUGGUAAGCCUGGCGUGAAAGUCUGCAGCUUAACUGUAGGGAUGCGUUGGGAACUGCUUAGCUUGAGUUACGGAGAGGGAGCUGGAAUUCCUGGUGUAGGGGUAAAAUCUGUAGAUAUCAGGAAGAACACCGAUGGCGAAGGCAAGCUUCUGGCCGACAACUGACGCUGAGGUGCGAAAGUGUGGGGAUCAAACAGGAUUAGAUACCCUGGUAGUCCACACAGUAAACGAUGUGCACAAGGUGCUGGGGCGGUAGUUUCAGUGCCGGAGCGAGCGCGGUAAGUGCACCGCCUGGGGAGUAUGCUCGCAAGGGUGAAACCCAAAGGAAUUGACGGGGGCCCGCACAAGCGGUGGAGCAUGUGGUUUAAUUCGAUGGUACACGAGGAACCUUACCUGGGUUUGACAUACGGAGGGAAGUGGCAGAGAUGUCACUGCGUAGAGAUACGGCUCCGUACAGGUGCUGCAUGGCUGUCGUCAGCUCGUGCCGUGAGGUGUUGGGUUAAGUCCCGCAACGAGCGCAACCCCUACUGUCAGUUACUAACAGGUUAAGCUGAGGACUCUGGCGGAACUGCCGGUGACAAACCGGAGGAAGGUGGGGAUGACGUCAAGUCAUCAUGGCCCCG
rnacentral:rRNA from 1 species